rnacentral:rRNA from 1 species
UACGGAGGGCGCGAGCGUUAAUCGGAAUUACUGGGCGUAAAGCGCGCGUAGGCUGUUGUGUAAGUUGGGGGUGAAAUCCCACGGCUCAACCGUGGAACAGCCCUUGAUACUGCGCGACUUGAAUCCGGGAGAGGGUGGCGGAAUUCCAGGUGUAGGAGUGAAAUCCGUAGAUAUCUGGAGGAACAUCAGUGGCGAAGGCGGCCACCUGGACCGGUAUUGACGCUGAGGCGCGAAAGCGUGGGGAGCAA